rnacentral:rRNA from 1 species
UACGAAGGGGGCUAGCGUUGUUCGGAAUCACUGGGCAUAAAGCGCACGUAGGCGGUCUGUUAAGUCAAGUGUGAAAGCCCCCGGCUCAACCGGGGAACAGCAUUUGAUACUGGCAGACUCGAGGAUGGUAGGGGUGAGUGGAACUCCAGGUGGAGCGGUGAAAUGCGUAGAUAUCUGGAGGAACACCGGUGGCGAAAGCGGCUCACUGGACCAUAACUGACGCUGAGGUGCGAAAGCUAGGGUAGCAAACGGG